rnacentral:rRNA from 1 species
UGCUUGCAAACUGAAGAUGGCGACCGGCGCACGGGUGAGUAACACGUAUCCAACCUGCCGAUAACUCCGGAAUAGCCUUUCGAAAGAAAGAUUAAUACCGGAUGGCAUACGAAUAUCGCAUGAUAUUUUUAUUAAAGAAUUUCGGUUAUCGAUGGGGAUGCGUUCCAUUAGUUUGUUGGCGGGGUAACGGCCCACCAAGACUACGAUGGAUAGGGGUUCUGAGAGGAAGGUCCCCCACAUUGGAACUGAGACACGGUCCAAACUCCUACGGGAGGCAGCAGUGAGGAAUAUUGGUCAAUGGGCGAGAGCCUGAACCAGCCAAGUAGCGUGAAGGAUGAAGGCUCUAUGGGUCGUAAACUUCUUUUAUAUGGGAAUAAAGUUUUCCACGUGUGGAAUUUUGUAUGUACCAUAUGAAUAAGGAUCGGCUAACUCCGUGCCAGCAGCCGCGGUAAUACGGAGGAUCCGAGCGUUAUCCGGAUUUAUUGGGUUUAAAGGGAGCGUAGGUGGAUUGUUAAGUCAGUUGUGAGAGUUUGCGGCUCAACCGUAAAAUUGCAGUUGAAACUGGCAGUCUUGAGUACAGUAGAGGUGGGCGGA